UACUAGUUAAGUGUCCAUGGUUUUUCAUUUGGUUCAUCUUUUUAAAUCAAAUAGGUAAAUUUAAUAACUUAAUUAUACAAUGGAAUCUAGAAUUCACUUGCAAGAUUUAAUAGAUUUAUGAACAUAAUUGAAUUACAAAGUUUUUUGGAACUUUCUUGGAUGAAAGAGGUUAAAUGUAAUCCAGGAUCAGCUGUUGACAGCAGCUGUCACUCACUUUCCAAUCUAGCUUUCCAGAUUUCAAUCACAUUGUAUUGCAUUUUGAACAUUCUUGUUUACAAGAUCCUGAGAUAUUUUGAAGUGGGGAGGCUGUGAACUUGAAGAGCACAGUGGUAGCUCAGGAGUCACAGUGUUCAACUAAGGUCUGUCAGCUUUUCACACCUGGAGUCCGAGGUGUAACUGUCCUCAUUGAUAAAUGAAGUCAGCAACCUGUCCCAACCACUGUUCCCUGUCUGUAAAACAUAGCUGGCUGCCAUGGAAAAGGCUCCUUGUGGGUUCCCCUUUGUCCCUCCCUUAGCAGUGCUGGUUAUGUUCAUUGUGUUGUUCCUCUGUAUUCCUAACAGCUGUUUCACCCUUAUGUUAAAGGUGGGAUUCUUUUAAUAUUUGGCCUAAAAAGCAAGGUGUGUAAAUUGAUUUUAUUGAUAAUUGACAGAGUAGUUUGUAAAGAAGUAAAAGGCCUUUUUGUGUCUAGUUUUUUGUAGAGCACAUCUCUGAAUGCUAGAUAAUGAAAUAAAACUGGUCAAGGAUCC
rnacentral:lncRNA from 1 species